rnacentral:lncRNA from 1 species
CGUAAACCCUUGAAUCAUAAAACAAGAAAAAAUACUUCCAAAGGACGUUACGAUCGAGUUUUGAACCCUCGAAUCCCCUAAUUUCAGGUAUAUCCUAUAUGCCAUAAGAAAGCUUAUAAAAUGAGGAACACAAGCUAUUUUAUGAAUAUAGUGCACGGAUUUGGUUUAAGGGGUAUAACGGCGCUCAAAAAUAAAAAACGGCCAAAAUCAAGAAAAAUUAAUUCCAAAGGACGUUACGAUCAAGUUUUAAACCCUCGAAUCCCCUAAUUGCAGGUAUAUCCUAUAUACCAUAAGAAAGCUUAUAAAAUAAGGAACACAAGCUAUAUAGUGAAUAUAGUGCACAGAUUCGGUUUAAGGGGUAUCGAGGCGCACGAAAAUAAAAAACGGCCAAAAU